AUUGAACGCUGGCGGCAUGCCUAACACAUGCAAGUCGAACGGGGCAGCAAUGCCUAGUGGCGGACGGGUGAGGAAUACGUAGGAAUCUGCCCUUAAGUGGGGGAUAACCAGGGGAAACCCUGACUAAUACCGCAUGAUCUCUUCGGUGCAAAGAGGGGGACCGCAAGGCCUCUCGCUUCUGGAUGAGCCUACGUCUGAUUAGCUAGUUGGUAGGGUAAAGGCCUACCAAGGCGACGAACAGUAACUGGUCUGAGAGGAUGGUCAUUCACACCGGAACUGAGACACGGUCCGGACUCCUACGGGAGGCAGCAGUGGGGAAUAUUGGACAAUGGGCGCAAGCCUGAUCCAGCAAUGCCGCGUGUGUGAAGAAGGCCUUCGGGUUGUAAAGCACUUUAGCCUGGAAAGAAAAAACUUUGGUUAACACCCAAAGUCUUGACGGUACCAGGAGAAUAAGCACCGGCUAACUCUGUGCUAGCAGCCGCCGUAACAC
rnacentral:rRNA from 1 species